rnacentral:rRNA from 1 species
UACGGAGGGUGCAAGCGUUAUCCGGAUUCACUGGGUUUAAAGGGAGCGUAGGUGGGCUGGUAAGUCAGUGGUGAAAUCUCCGGGCUUAACCCGGAAACUGCCGUUGAUACUAUCAGUCUUGAAUAUUGUGGAGGUAAGCGGAAUAUGUCAUGUAGCGGUGAAAUGCUUAGAUAUGACAUAGAACACCGAUAGCGAAGGCAGCUUGCUACACAAUGAUUGACACUGAGGCGCGAAAGCGCGGGGAUCAAACAGG